rnacentral:rRNA from 1 species
UACGAAGGGAGCUAGCGUUGUUCGGAAUCACUGGGCGUAAAGCGCACGUAGGCGGAUUUGUAAGUCAGGGGUGAAAUCCCGGGGCUCAACCUCGGAACUGCCUUUGAUACUGCGAAUCUCGAGUCCGAGAGAGGUGGGUGGAAUUCCUAGUGUAGAGGUGAAAUUCGUAGAUAUUAGGAAGAACACCGGUGGCGAAGGCGGCCCACUGGCUCGGUACUGACGCUGAGGUGCGAAAGCGUGGGGAGCAAACAGG